rnacentral:rRNA from 1 species
UACGUAGGGGGCAAGCGUUGUCCGGAUUUAUUGGGCGUAAAGAGCGUGUAGGCGGCCAGACAGGUCAGCUGUGAAAACUCGAGGCUCAACCUCGAGACGUCGGUUGAAACCGUCUGGCUAGAGUCCGGAAGAGGAGAGUGGAAUUCCUGGUGUAGCGGUGAAAUGCGCAGAUAUCAGGAAGAACACCAGUGGCGAAGGCGGCCCGCUGGACAUGUAUUGACGCUGAGGUGCGAAAGCGUGGGGAGCAAACAGG